AGUGAACGCUGGCGGUAUGCCUAACACAUGCAAGUCGAACGGCCGCACGAGAAGAUUUUUCUCUUGCCGUUGGCGAGUGACGGACGGGUGAGGAAUAGAUCGCCAUCUUCUUUUUCGGGGGUGAUAACGUAGAAAAGCUGACACUAAUACCUCAUACGACCUACGGCUGAAAUCAGUGGAUCUUCAGACCUUUGCCGACUGAAUUAGCCGAUGUCGGAUUAGCUAGUUGGCUGGGUAAAGUCCCACCAAGGCGACGAUGCGUAGCUGGUCUGAGAGGAUGAUCAGCCACACUGGAACUGAGACACGGUCCAGACUCCUACGGGAGGCAGCAGUGGGGAAUCUUGGACAAUGGGCGAAAGCCUGAUCCAGCAACACCGCGUGGGUGAAGAAGGCCUUCGGGUUGUAAAGCCCUGUUGUUGGGAAAGAAAAGCAGUAUGUUAAUCCAUCGCCGUUCUGACGGUACCCAAAGAAUAAGCACCGGCUAACUACGUG
rnacentral:rRNA from 1 species